UGGCGGCAGGCUUACACAUGCAAGUCGAGCGGGGGAAGGUAGCUUGCUACUGGACCUAGCGGCGGACGGGUGAGUAAUGCUUAGGAAUCUGCCUAUUAGUGGGGGACAACAUCUCGAAAGGGAUGCUAAUACCGCAUACGUCCUACGGGAGAAAGCAGGGGAUCUUCGGACCUUGCGCUAAUAGAUGAGCCUAAGUCGGAUUAGCUAGUUGGUGGGGUAAAGGCCUACCAAGGCGACGAUCUGUAGCGGGUCUGAGAGGAUGAUCCGCCACACUGGGACUGAGACACGGCCCAGACUCCUACGGGAGGCAGCAGUGGGGAAUAUUGGACAAUGGGGGGAACCCUGAUCCAGCCAUGCCGCGUGUGUGAAGAAGGCCUUAUGGUUGUAAAGCACUUUAAGCGAGGAGGAGGCUACUCUAGUUAAUACCUAGGGAUAGUGGACGUUACUCGCAGAAUAAGCACCGGCUAACUCUGUGCCAGCAGCCGCGGUAAUACAGAGGGUGCGAGCGUUAAUCGGAUUUACUGGGCGUAAAGCGUGCGUAGGCGGCUUAUUAAGUCGGAUGUGAAAUCCCCGAGCUUAACUUGGGAAUUGCAUUCGAUACUGGUGAGCUAGAGUAUGGGAGAGGAUGGUAGAAUUCCAGGUGUAGCGGUGAAAUGCGUAGAGAUCUGGAGGAAUACCGAUGGCGAAGGCAGCCAUCUGGCCUAAUACUGACGCUGAGGUACGAAAGCAUGGGGAGCAAACAGGAUUAGAUACCCUGGUAGUCCAUGCCGUAAACGAUGUCUACUAGCCGUUGGGGCCUUUGAGGCUUUAGUGCGCAGCUAACGCGAUAAGUAGACCGCCUGGGGAGUACGGUCGCAAGACUAAAACUCAAAUGAAUUUGACGGGGGCCCGCACAAGCGGUGGAGCAUGUGUUUAAUUCGAUGCAACGCGAAGACCUUACCUGGCCUUGAC
rnacentral:rRNA from 1 species